AAACAACAUCAAAGCAACUCAUAUAGCAUAUGAUCAACAUAUACUCCAACUUUUAGAUCCACUCAAAACAUGCUAUAAAACUCUCUUAAACCCUUUCAAACAUGCUUAAAACAUAAGGGAAGGUGAGGAUCCAUGCUUACCUCUUGAAGAUCGAGAGGAUUGAUGGUCCUAACUCAGAAAUGUAGAGGAAAAACGAUCCAAACUCUCAAAGACUUGCAC
rnacentral:lncRNA from 1 species